rnacentral:rRNA from 1 species
UACGUAGGGGCAAGCGUUGUCCGGAAUCAUUGGGCGUAAAGAGCGUGUAGGCGGCUCGGUAAGUCCGCUGUGAAAGUCCAGGGCUCAACCCUGGAAAGCCGGUGGAAACUGUCGAGCUCGAGUCCGGAAGAGGCGAGUGGAAUUCCUGGUGUAGCGGUGAAAUGCGCAGAUAUCAGGAGGAACACCAACGGCGAAGGCAGCUCGCUGGGACGGUACUGACGCUGAGGCGCGAAAGCGUGGGGAGCGAACAGG